rnacentral:rRNA from 1 species
CAAUAGCGUAUAUUUAAGUUGCUGCAGUUAAAAAGCUCGCAGUUGGAUUUCGGGUGGGAAUGGCCGGUCCGCCGUUUCGGUGUGCACUUGCUACGCCCACCUUGCUGCCGGGGACGUGCUCUUGAGUUCACGCUCGGGACACGGAGUCGGCGAGGUUACUUUGAGUAAAUUAGAGUGUUCAAAGCAGGCCUACGCUCUGAAUACAUUAGCAUGGAAUAACACGAUAGGACUCUGGCCUAUCUUGUUGGUCUGUAGGACCGGAGUAAUGAUUAAGAGGGACAGUCGGGGGCAUUCGUAUUUCAUUGUCAGAGGUGAAAUUCUUGGAUUUAUGAAAGACGAACUACUGCGAAAGCAUUUGCCAAGGAUGUUUUCAUUAA